ensembl:snRNA U1 U1 spliceosomal RNA
GUUUUAACAAAGACAAGAUAACAUGAUCACAAAGGUGGUUUUCUCAGGCUUAUCCAUUGCACUCUGGAUGUGCUGACCCUGUGAUUUCCCCAAAUAUGGGAAACUUGACUGCAUAAUUCAUGGUAGUGUGACCUACAUUCAUGCUCUUCUUUG